rnacentral:rRNA from 1 species
UGGGGAAUAUUGGGCAAUGGGCGAAAGCCUGACCCAGCAACGCCGCGUGAGCGAUGAAGGCCUUCGGGUCGUAAAGCUCUGUCCUCAAGGAAGAUAAUGACGGUACUUGAGGAGGAAGCCCCGGCUAACUACGUGCCGGCAGCCGCGGUAAUACGUAGGGGGCUAGCGUUAUCCGGAAUUACUGGGCGUAAAGGGUGCGUAGGUGGUUCCUUAAGUCAGAGGUGAAAGGCUACGGCUCAACCGUAGUAAGCCUUUGAAACUGGGAAACUUGAGUGCAGGAGAGGAGAGUUGAAUUUCUAGUGUAGCGGUGAAAUGCGUAGAUAUUAGGAGGAACAUCAGUUGCGAAGGCGGCUCUCUGGACUGUAACUGACACUGAGGCACGAAAGCGUGGGGAGCAAACA